GGCGAGAUGGCCGAGCGGUCUAAGGCGCCAGACUAAGGACCACACCAUUAGAUGGUGACUGAUAUCUGGUCCGAAAGGGCGUGGGUUCGAAUCCCACUCUCGUCA